CCGCCACACUCGUCGGCAAAGAAGGUAUACAUAUCUCAUUGAACCCGUACAUCAACUCGUGUAGAUCAGCAUGACAUAGCAGUCCCGAUUUACCAUAGCCUACUAUAGAUCCACAUGACGCCUCUUGUGUAGAUCAGUCCCGAUUUCCUUUUUUUGAAUGACAAUCCCGAUUACAUCCUGUUUACAUUACAUCAAAAAAAGAUCAGUAGAUUACACAAAAAAAGAUUAGCUUAAGUACAAGUUACAUUAAUCAAAUCAUUACUUCAGCCUGGCACGUCUUAAACUAAUUAGCCAUCAAUAUAGUACGUCAACGAAUGAGUACAGUAAAGUUAUAUUUUUAUUUCUCAGUGGUACGUACAGUAAAAUUAUAUUUUUAUUUCUUAGUAAAAAUAUGCUGAAAAUCCGUAGGCACGUUCACCAUAGCCUACUCUUACUGAAGAUAGAAAGAGAACAUGCAUGCAAAUUAAAGAUAGAAAGAGAACAUGCAUGCAAAUUAAAACAACACCGCAUAUAGCCAAAUAAACAGCCUAAAUGAUAAUCUUAAUUAUUUGUUCACAAUAAAUCUCUUAUUUUUGUUGGCUUGUCACUGAAAAUAAUCUUUGCACAUACAGGGUACCUGAUGAAGCUAUGUACCUAGGGUAGGGUCAUGGACAUGUCCUAACUGCCCUACCCAAGGACAUCUCUAAAAGAAAUCACCUUUCAAUCGACUUGAAGGUGUUCCACUCGACAGACUCGAAGUCACUCGACCAAGAAACGAUCACUCGACCAAGAUCCAACCACUCGACGGCCAGGAGACCUAAAGUCACCCCGCACGCUAACGGUCGGUCAUUAAAUAGCUUUUAUGGUCAUCAUAGCACUUUAUUACUAGCGUUACCAGUAACGCCCUGCCUUAAUGUACAUUAAACCCUUCGAAACGUGGGCUGGCCGGGGUCCUGGUGCACUCUAUAUAAGCCACCUCCCUCCUCCGAGACAAGGGUUCGCACCUCUGUAACUCAUACUCACAUCAUCCAGUCGACCGCCUCCAGGCUCCGAGACGUAGGGUUUUUACUUCUUCCGAGAAGGGUCUGAACUCGUAAACCUUGCGUCCUUACAACUUCUCAUAGCUAAGAUCUCGCCUCUCCAUACUUACCCCCCUACAUUACUGCCAGACUUAGAACCACGACAGUUGGCGCCCACCGUGGGGCCGGUGUUUUAGCGUUUUGUUGGAGGAGUUGCGAUCUUUUCCGAUCCGAAUCAUCAUGGUUUUCGACGGAGUUUUGGUGGAGGGCCGCGAGAUCCGUCUCGGCGCGCUCACAUUCAUCGCCGACGACUCCGCCUGGCUUUAGGAAGCUCGGCUCGACGUGGACGCACACCCUGUCCGCGGGGCAACGCACUUUAGCGCAUGCGUCCGCGGCGUGCUCCUGCGGCAACCGUCGACCCCCUACCAGUCGGCUCCUAUGUUGUCCUCCCUCCCCGUUUCCCGCCGGCGCAAGCGCUCCGGUCGGUCGAGACUUCAGCGGUGGGUGAGACACGCGGUGGCCCACCAGUCGGCCAUCCCUCAAGUCGCGGCGAUCGAGCCCGACGAAUCCCUCUAGGGCCUGUUCGACCUGUCGACUGGCUCCGAAGAGACUGCACCCGAAUGCGACAGCAGCGAUCCGGCAGCAGAGGUUCUGAUGGUCGACACACCGCCCAGUCCCCCUGGUUUUACCUGCACCAACGGAGGCGCGGGAGGAGGCGACCCGUCGUGUCUCCAUGAAGAGUAUCUUCCCGAGUCUCUCACGUCGCUGCAGAGAGAAGAACUUCGCCGCCGGAACAUGGAUGCACUGCACACUCCUAUCGUCGGAGAAACCCCCGAGGCUCGCGCCUUGGAAGACGCACGCCUGGCAAACUUGGCCGAGCGCACUCGACUGGAGAACCUCCAGCGAGCACUCGACGAGCGUGCGCGACAACGGGUUCCCGAAUCCAGUCGACGUCAGCUCUUCCCGCCCCCACAGGUAUAUCGAACUCCGAUUCAGAAUUUAGCAGCUGCAGCCCGUAUAGCGGAGUCGAUUCAGCCUUCCCAGUCGGAGGCUGGCAGAGGCUUGCUGCAGAUCAGAGCAUUACUCCGGGCAGCAGGAGAUCAGAAUUCCGCUGUUUCUCGGUCGCGGAACAGGAUUCACAGCAGAUCCGUUGCCGCGGACACAGUCCAGUUGGCUCACAGCCCGAGAUCGCCCCCGAGGCGUGAGGGACGUGGUGACCAGCGUGACCAGUAUGGGAACCAUGAGCAGUAUGAUCACCGAGUCGAUCGUGACGGUCGACGUCGAGUGCCCACGCCUCCCCCGAGGAGCGGGUCGUAUGUGCCUCGCCAGCAGGAUGACAGGCGCCCUCAUAGUGGUGGGCGAAGGAUUCCAGUUGACCCCAGAGGGCCAGGCUUUGACGCGAGAUCCAUUCUCGUCCAGGGUUUGGUCGACAGGAACAGGGCUCACCGAGAAGGUCACGACAGAGAUGCACCUACCAGCAGCAGAGUACAUGUUUCGGGGCCAGGGUGCUUUAGUAGAGCCAUCAGGGCCGCUGUGAUUCCUCCCAAUUUCAGGUUGGCGACUGGAGUCAGUAAGUUCACUGGCGAGUCCAAGCCCGAUACUUGGCUUGAGGACUACCGAGUGGCCGUCCAGAUUGGCGACGGCAAUGAUGAAGUGGCCAUGAAGCACAUGCCUCUCAUGUUGGAGGGCUCGGCCAGAGCGUGGCUAAACCAGUUAGCACCUAGCAGCAUUUACACUUGGGAAGAUCUCUCCCGAGUGUUCGUCACCACAUUUGAAGGCACAUGCAAGCGACCGACAGGACUGAUGGAACUGCGGUCCUAUGUGCAAAAGCCGAAUGAAACCUUGAGGGAUUACAUCCAGAGAUGGAUCAUGUUACAUCACUCGGUGGAGAAUGUGCCUGACCACCAAGCAGUUUGUGCCUUCAAGGAAGGCGUCAAGUACAGAGAACUGAAUUUGAAAUUCGGUCGAACCGGAGAUAUGUCGCUGAAUCGGAUGAUGGAGAUUGCCACCAAGUACGCUAAUGGCGAAGAUGAGGAUCGACUCAGGAGUGGCAAGCUCAAGUCAGUCGCCAAAGAAACCGGAGGCAAUUCCAGUCGGAAACAGAAGCGGAAAGCCGAGCCAGCGGCUCCCGAGGAAGCCUUAGCUUUGGCCCAAGGAAAGUCUAAAGGGAAACCUAAAGGGCCUUGAAACCCCAAAAAGGUUAAAGACCAGGAGGGAAAUGAUGUGUUGGACUUACCGUGUCUCGUCCACACGAAGAAAGAUGAAGAGGGUAAUUUUAUUUACCCAAAACAUACCACUCGGCAGUGUCGACUCUUGAUCCAGCAGUUCCAGGGCAAGCAGCCCAAGGGUAAGGAAAAGGAGUCAAACAAGGUCGAAGACAAAGAGGACAGUGAUGACGGAUACCCUCAAGUCAAUUCCACCCUGAUGAUUUUUGCUGAUGUUGAGAGCAAAAGUCGACUGAAAGUUAUUAACCGAGAGGUGAAUAUGGUCGCUCCGGCGACACCUAGUUACUUGAAAUGGUCUCAGACUGCCAUAACGUUCGACCAGUCCGACCACCUAACGCACAUCACCACCCCUGGGAGGCAAGCUUUGGUGGUAGACCCAGUUGUUGAAGGCACUCGACUGACCAAAGUCCUGAUGGAUGGUGGCAGUGGUUUGAACAUAUUAUACGCUGAGACGUUGAAGGGGAUGGGCAUUCUGAUGUCCAGACUCAGUGCCAGCAACAUGAGUUUCCAUGGAGUCAUUCCUAGGAAGAAGGCUGAAUCACUCGGCCAGAUUGCUCUUGAUGUGGUUUUCGGUGAUUCCAAGAAUUACCGCAAAGAAAAAUUGACAUUUGAAGUUGUAGACUUCCAGAAUGCCUAUCACGCUAUUUUGGGCAGGCCGGCUUAUGCACGCUUCAUGGCCCGACCAUAUUACGUGUAUCUCAAAUUGAAGAUGCCUGGCCCCAAAGGUGUGAUCACCAUUACGGGCAAUCGGAAGAAAGCGGACGAAUGUUUUCAGAAAGGUUCGAAGAUCGCCGACGCACAGAUGUCAGUGGUGGAGUUGCAGGAAUACCAGAAGACUGCAGACCCGAGUGAUCUGUUGCGAGCCAAGAAGCCCGCUACAGAGUCAGCUUUCCAGUCGACUGGCGACACGAAGACAGCUCACAUCCACCCGACCGACCCCAGCGCCGCCCCGACUCAUAUCUCGACAACACUCAACUCCAAAUAAGAAGAAGCGCUCAUCCAGUUCCUCCAUGAGAACUGGGACAUCUUCGCGUGGAAGCCUUUUGACAUGCCAGGUGUUCCCAGGGAGCUGGCUGAGCAUCGCCUGAGAGUCGACUCAAAAGUAAAACCUAUCAAGGAACAUCUUCGACGGACCGCCGUCCAAAAGAGAGAAUCUAUUGGCGAAGAGGUGGCUCGGCUCUUAGCAGCGGAGUUCAUCCGAGAAAUCUUCCACUCCGAGUAGCUCGCCAACGUUGUCAUGGUCCCCAAGAAGGACAAGUCACUUUGCAUGUGCAUUGACUUUAAACAUAUCAAUCGGGCCUGCCCGAAAGAUCAUUUUCCUCUCCCCGCAUCGACCAGAUAGUCGACUUGACUGCGGGAUGUGAGCGACUUUCUUUCUUAGACGCCUAUUCCCGGUACCAUCAGAUCCGUCUGUAUGGACCUGAUGAGAUCAAGACAGCUUUCAUCACUCCAUUCGGGUGCUUCUGUUAUGUUACCAUGCCGUUCGGCCUCAAGAAUGCCGGAGCCACAUUCAUGAGGAGGAUUCAGAAGUGUUUACUCACUCAAAUCAGUCGGAACGUGGAAGCAUACAUGGAUGAUAUUGUGGUCAAGUCAAGAAAGGGUUUCGACCUGCUGACUGACCUUGCUGAAACCUUUGCCAACCUCAGGAGGUAUGAUAUCAAGCUUAAUCCAUCAAAGUGUACAUUCGGAGUCCCUGGCGGAAAAUUACUCGGUUUUCUCGUUUCCGAACGGGGAAUCGACGCCAAUCCAUAAAACAUUGGCACUAUACUCUGAAUGAAAAGCCCUGUGCGAGUGCACGACGUCCAGAAGCUUACUGGUUGUUUGGCUGCCCUAAGUCGAUUCAUAUCUCGUCUCGGUGAAAAGGCAUUACCUCUUUACUGAUUGAUGAAGAAGUCCGACAAGUUCGAGUGAACUCCCGAAGCUGAUGCAGCGUUUGCAGAGCUCAAAGCUCUGCUCUCCACCCAGCCGGUGCUUGCUGCCCCAAUCGGCAAAGAGCCUUUGCUGCUUUACAUUGCAGCCAUAGGACAAAUCGUCAGUACGCUACUUACGGUCGAGCGGGAAGAAGAAGGGAAAACCUUCAAAGUUCAGCGCCCAGUAUAUUAUAUUUCUGAAGUCUUGACCCCAUCGAAGCAAAGAUAUCCUCACUAUCAGAAACUUGUAUAUGGGAUUUAUAUGACCACCAAGAAAGUUGCUCACUACUUCUCUGGUCAUUCCAUUACAGUCGUCAGCGACGCUCCAUUAAGAGAUCCUGCAUAACAGGGAUGCAACUGGUCGAGUGGCAAAAUGGGCGAUUGAACUCCUUCCCCUUGAUAUCAAGUUUGAGGCAAAGAAAGCUAUCAAGUCCCAAGCAAUCGCAGAUUUCGUCGCCGAGUGGAUUGAACAGCAGCUGCCGACUCAGAUUCACUCGGAGCAUUGGACUAUGUUUUUCGACGGCUCCAAGAUGCUGAGUGGUUCCAGUGCCGGAGUGGUGUUGGUGUCCCUCAGAGGAGAUAAACUCAGAUAUGUUCUUCAAAUCCAUUUUGAUUCCUCCAAUAACGAGGCAGAAUAUGAAGCACUUUUAUAUGGGUUGCACAUGGCCAUCUCACUCGGCGUCCGUCGCCUCAUGGUCUAUGGCGACUCAGAUUUGGUGGUUAAUCAGGUGAUGAAGGAGUGGGAUGUCAGAAGUCCAGCCAUGACUGGUUAUUGCAAUGCAGUGAGAAAGCUGGAGAAGAAAUUCAAGGGGUUAGAGCUUCAUCACAUACCCCGACUGAAAAAUCAAGCAGCUGAUGAUUUGGCAAAAAUAGGUUCCAAAAAAGAAGCCAUUCCCAGCAAUGUGUUUUUGGAACACAUCCACACACCAUCAGUCCAGUAGGAUCCCUUCACGGAAGAGGCCCCGUAGCCAAAAAGCUCCAAGGAUCCAACUGAAGUUGAAGUUCCAGCUGUGGUCGAUCUGAUAAUGGAAGUGCCGGUUAUCACUCCCGUCUGGACAGAACCGUAUAUCGCGUAGAUCCUAAGGAAAGAACUCUCAGAAGACGAGGAAGAGGCUCGAUAGAUCGUCCAUCGAUCCAAGGCCUUUACAGUCAUAAAAGGACAGUUAUAUAGGGAAAGCGCGACUAGGGUCGGCCAAAAGUGUAUCACACCAGAAGAAGGUCAGAUGAUCCUUAACGAUAUCCACUCGGGGACCUGUGGUCAUCAUGCGUCCUCUCGGACCUGUGUUCAUCCACUCGGGGUUCUACUGGCCAAGGGCCAAUGAGAUGGCUAAAGAGAUAGUCGACAAAUGUGAAGGAUGUCAGUAUUACUCCAAUAUGCCGCACAGGCCCGCGUCAGCCCUGAAAACCAUUCCACUCGUCUGGCCCUUCGCUGUUUGGGGGCUGGACAUGGUUGGGCCACUGAGAACAGGCAGGAGCGGCUUCACUCAUGUGCUAGUAGCAGUCGACAAGUUCACCAAAUGGAUUGAAGCCAAGCCUAUCAAGAAUCUCGAUGCUUGCACCGCUAUCAGUUUCAUCAGAGAGUUGAUAUUCAGAUAUGGAGUUCCGCACAGUAUCAUCACGGACAAUGGGUCAAACUUCGAUUCAGACAAGUUCAGGGCCUUUUGCGCCUCUCAGGGCACUCGGGUCGACUAUGCUUCGGUCGCUCACCCCCAGUCGAAUGGACAAGCAGAAGGGGCAAAUGGCCUAAUUCUCAAAGGACUGAAACCCCAAUUGAUGCUGAUCUCAAGCACGCAGCAGGUGCAUGGGUCGACGAGCUCCCAUCAGUCCUUUAGGGAUUAAGGACAACUCCGAAUUGAUCGACCGGAAGAACCCCAUUCUUUCUGGUCUACGGAGCCGAGGCAGUCUUACCGAGCGACCUGCUUCACAACGCUCCCAGAGUCGAGGUCUACUAAGAAGAUGAAGCAGAACAAGCCCGGCAGGACGCAGUCGACCUCCUAGAAGAAGAAAGAUAAAUGGCCCUGAUCCGAUCGACCAUCUAUCAGCAAGACUUGUGUCGAUUCCAUGCCAGAAACAUGAAGAGCCGAGCCUUCCAAGAAGGCGACUUAGUCCUUCGAGUGGAUCAGCAGAAACCACACAAGCUUGCUCCUAUUUGGGAAGGCCCCUUCAUAGUCACCAGAGUCCUCCACAAUGGAGCAUACCACAUCUACAAUGCCCAUCGCCAGAUUGAUGAGCCACGAGCCUGGAAUGCGGAGCUACUCCGCCCCUUUUAUACUUGAAUUCUCACUCGGACGAGAUGUAAUAAGAAAAACUCCUGUAGUUUAUUUAUCAAAGACAAGAGUGUUAUAAUUUUCGCAGUGAUUAUUAUUGUUUUUGUUUGCGUAAGAAAUCCCCCAGCGGGUGGCUUAGCUGCGAAUCCGCUUCGCCUAAGUUUGAAAAAUCCUACCGAGUGGAGAGCAAUCUUCCCACUCGGGGGCUUAGCUGCGAAUCCGUUUCUCCUAAGUUUGAAAAAUCCUACCGAGUGGAGAGCAAUCCUCCCACUCGGGGGCUUAGCUGCAAUCCAGUACUCGCCUAAGUUCUCCCACCUAGAGACUUAGCUGCAGUCAGGUACUCGCCUAAGUUUGAAAAAUCCUACCGAGUGAAGAGCAACCCUCCCACUCGGGGGCUUAGCUGCAGUCUAGUACUCGCCUAAGUUCUCCCACUCAGAGACUUAGCUGCAGUCAGGCACUCGCCUAAGUUUGAAAAUUCCUACCGAGUGAAGAGCAACCCUCCCANNNNNNNNNNNNNNNNNNNNNNNNNNNNNNNNNNNNNNNNNNNNNNNNNNNNNNNNNNNNNNNNNNNNNNNNNNNNNNNNNNNNNNNNNNNNNNNNNNNNNNNNNNNNNNNNNNNNNNNNNNNNNNNNNNNNNNNNNNNNNNNNNNNNNNNNNNNNNNNNNNNNNNNNNNNNNNNNNNNNNNNNNNNNNNNNNNNNNNNNNNNNNNNNNNNNNNNNNNNNNNNNNNNNNNNNNNNNNNNNNNNNNNNNNNNNNNNNNNNNNNNNNNNNNNNNNNNNNNNNNNNNNNNNNNNNNNNNNNNNNNNNNNNNNNNNNNNNNNNNNNNNNNNNNNNNNNNNNNNNNNNNNNACCAAGUGGAGAGCAACCCUCCCACUCGGGGGCUUAGCUGUAGUCCAGUACUCGCCUAAGUUCUCCCACCUAGAGACUUAGCUGCAGUCAGGCACUCGCCUAAGUUUGAAAAAUCCUACCGAGUGAAGAGCAACCCUCCCACUCGGGGGCUUAGCUGCAGUCCAGUACUCACCUAAGUUCUCCCACCUAGAGACUUAGCUGCAGUCAGGCACUCGCCUAACUUUGAAAAAAUCCUACCGAGUGGAGAGCAAUCCUCCCAUUUGGGGGCUUAGCUGCAGUCCAGUACUCGCCUAAGUUCUCCCAAACACAUCUCAAUCCUCAAGGACGAUGAGGGGCAGGUCGACUGCCACCUUCUCCUGGAGAGCUUCGCCACAAAUACAAUGCGCGAUUCAUCCCGCUCUACAAUAAUGAAGUACGGGUCGACUGCCCCCUUCUCCUGGAGAGCUUCGCCACAAAUACAAGGCAUGGGUCGACUACUUCCCCCUCCUUCGGAGCUGCGCUGCAAAUACAGAAAGUUGUCUCGAAUAAAGAUUGGGUUCACUCAGCAGGAGAUCCAUAAAGAUACUCAACGGUAAACCAAGUUCAGAUAAAAUCCUAAAGGUUCUGGAUCACGGAUCGAGGUACUCGGGCAUGCGGCCCGAAAAAGUUUAAUGGUUACAAAAACCACUCGGCAUUCCAAGGCAAAUUUAAGGUAGGACACAAGAGUUUGUUCACUUCGCGGGAGGAGGGCUGGCAGGCUCAACGAACUCGUCCAGGUCGAUGCCAUCGGCAAUCCGAGUGGCGGCAGCUAUGAAGGUCUCCAUAAAAGUUAAGAAGUCGUGCUUCUGGGUGUUUGCGACCUUGAUUGCGGCCAGCUUGUCUUGUCGCACGUCCUUGCAGUGGACACGAACCAAGGACAGAGCCACAUCAGCGCCACAACGAGCAGAAGACUUCUUCCACUCCUGCACUCAGUCAGGCAUUCCGUUAAGUCGAGGCAUCAGAGACUCAAGAUCGUUUUGGAGCGUAGCCUCUGGCCAGAGUGCCGGGUCGAUCCGUGACAUGGCGACCUUCAGUCGAGCCAAGUAGUGCAUGACACCAUCGAUGCGAGAUUCCAGUCGGAGCAGAUUCGUGGCAGUUUCAUCUUUCACGGGAGAGUUGAUUGGAUCCAGACCUGGUUCGAUCCGCCCGGUCUCCUCUUCAAAGUUCUGGCAAAACUCUGCAUUCACGAUCCAAGGAUAAGUCAACUUUCAUACACUGAGUCAACACAAAAAAAUCAGUCGGAACUAAAUGUGCAUCUUCAAGCUUGAUAUACAACUUCUUGGCAAGACUCCUCAGGUAGCUCUCCAGAUCGUCCCUCCUACGAGCGACGCCUUCCAUCUUUUCGGUCAGGUUGAGGUUCUCCUUCUUCCAAUGUGUGCACUCCCUGUUGGCUUCAUUCAUAGCAGUCUUCAGCCUGGUAUUCUCUUCUUCCAACUGGCCGACUGAAGCCAGCUUCUGUUCGGCCAGAGCGGUCCUGUCGUCAGCCUCCUUCUGGGCAGCAGACAAAUACUGAUCCUUUUUCGCCAAAGCCUCUCGCAGUUUUUUUGCAAAGAAAUGAUGAUUGAUUCAGAAAUAGCAGAAGGGUGCUCGAUCCUAAAGCUGACCAGUCGACAAACUUGUCUUACCGGCGGCGCCGUCUCUGACCGUCUGCAGUUCUGUCCUGGCCAGCUCCAAGUCAAGUUUCAGUUGAAUCUGCUGACUUUCCAAAUCAGCGAAGCGAGCUCCAAGAUCACAAGAUUUCUGAAAUCAAAGGGGAGAAAUUAUUACACAGCCAAAAACGACAAAUACUAAGACUAUAGUCGACUGCCCGCAGUCCACCAUAGUCUCGGGGACUACACCCAGUGGGUGCACUUUGCGUGCCCCCACCGGUUCUGAUUCCACUCGACCGGCCCGCCGGAGUCGAGUUCAAAAAAGAAGAAGAAAGAGAGACAAAGUAGAACUCAGACCACAGUCGACUGCCCGCAGUCGACCGCGGUCUCGGGGACUACACCCAGUGGGUGCACUUUGCGUGCCCCCACCGGUUCUUAUUCCACUCGACCGGAUCGAGCGGAAGAAACAAACUACCAGUUCGGUUUUACUCAACAAAAUACAAAGACUACGGUCGACUGCCAGCAGUCCACCGUAGCCUCGGGGACUACACCCAGUGGAUGCACUCAGCGCGCCCCCACUAGUCCAAAAAAUUCAAUCGACACACCCAGUGAGUGUACAGAUAAAAAGAUUUUCGGAAAGAAUCUUCAGAUAGCAUAUCCUAACAGAACAAGCGGCGACCAACUAACCUGAACAUUACUCUGGAGAGCCGAGCUAGCAUCGUAGGCGGCUUGGCUGACGUCCCGCACCGUCUUCAUCUUCUCCAUCAUAAUGCCCGCCUGGUGUAUGGCUUCUCUAGCAGCAUUCACCUCGUCCUCCGGGACAUGAUGGGUUGCAAAAAGUGAAGGCGGGUCGACAGGGGCCUGAGCGGUCGAAGAAGAAGGCAACACACUCGACAGGGGCUCCGUGAAGGUAACAGAACCCCGAUUGACAUCACCAGUGUCCUGAACGACUGGUUCCGCCCUCGGCGUCGACUGUAGCGCCUCACUUACAGGAGCUCGCCUACUCUUCCUCAUCAAAGACCUCUCGGGUUCUUAAUCAUCAUCAGGGAGGUCAAUAAUGUUGGGAGCUGUACAAAGUUCAAAUUGCCAAAAUCACGUCACCCAGUGAUGCAUGAUGCAGUUGAAUCGACCAAAGAAAGAUAGUAUGGCAGAAAUCAUACCCGAAUUAGAAGUGACCGCAUCCUCCAUCACCUCAUUAUCAUCCCUGUAAGCUGAGGUCCCGAAAGUGGCAGCGCUAACAAUUCCAAAGUUCGUCCGGCUAAAACAAGAAAAACAAACAGCGCGGAGCGUCGAGUGAAUACAAGGAGAGACACUAACGCGGAGGCGACAUGGAUAUCGAUCUUGAUCUUCGGCAGCGCCUCCCGAGUCUUCGGUUCUGCAACUUUGGGAUGCUUUGGCGCCUUAUCAGUCGUGGUUGGUGAAGAGAUCCGAGGACGCUUCGAAGACUGACCAGCCUGAGCAGUCGCCUUGUCGCGGGCACUCGGCCGAUCCUGGUCAAGCUUGGAUCGUCUCUCUAUGCGAGGAGGCGGCUUGACUUCUUCCUCAUCACUCGAGUCGUCGCUUCCUCCAUCCCCUUCACCAUCGGAAGUCCACUCGCCACUUUCGCCACCACUCGCCUCGCCUUCCAGAGCUUGCUCUUGCUCCCCGUUGGGCAUCAAAUACAUUUCAAUAAUAGCCUGAAAGAAAGCAGGGAGAAAAAGUUAGUCGACGCAAUACAGACAGCUGCGUGAGUGAAUUCAGAUUACAAGCAAAAACUCAGAAUCAGACCUGCUCUGGUGCACGCGACUGGUCAAAUGGGAGAACUCUCCUGGCUCCUCUAGGGUUGUCCUUGUUCCCGGUAAUGCUCGACAACCACUUCUCCAGCGUGUCGUCAUCGACCUCCUCCGGGUGGAUCCGAGUGGAGUCUUCUAGACCCGAAUACAUCCACAUCGGGUGGUCUCGGGCUUGGAGAGGCUGGAUGCACCGCCGAAGGAAGACCUCCAAGAGAUCCAUACCAGUGACCCCGUCACGAAUGAGCUGGACCACUCGGUUGACUAACACCUUCACGUGCGCCUUCUCCUCCGGGAGCACCUUCAAAGGGGAGGGUUUUUCCACUCGGUCCAUGGUGAAGGGAGGGAGGCCAGUCGAUUGCCCUGGCGUCGACUGGUCUUUGCAGUAGAACCAGGUCGACUGCCAUCCGCGAACUGAAUCGGGAAGAAUCAUGGCCGGAAAGGAGCUUUUUCCCCUCGUCUGGAUGCCAAGACCCCCACACAUCUGGAUCACUUGGGCCCUCUCGUCACCCGGGUUAGCCUUUUUCACUGUCUGGGAGCGACAAGUGAAAAUAUGCUUGAAAAGACCCUAGUGAGGUCGACAACCCAAGAAGUUCUCACACAAGGAAAUGAACACGGCAAGAUAAACGAUUGAGUUGGGGUUAAAAUGGUGGAGUUGAGCCUCGAAAAAGUUCAGAAACCCUCGAAAGAAAGGAUGAGGAGGCAAGGAAAACCCACGGUCGACGUGGGUGGCAAGAAGAACGCGCUCACCCUCCCGGGGUUGCGGCUCGGAUUCCUUCCCCGGAAGCCGCGCCGAGUCGUAAGGGAUCAGGCCUCCCUCGGCCAGGUCAUCGAGGUCUUCUUGGGAGAUCCUCGAGUGGAUCCAGUCGCCCUGGAUCCAACCCCUCGGCAGGCCAGUCCGCGAGGAAGAUCCGCCCCGGCUCAUCACCUUACCCUUUGACCUCGCCGUCGCCUUCUUUGCCCGCUCCAGAGCCGCUGUCUUCUCCUUCACCAUUGUCGCCGACGAGACGCGUGUGGCGCGGUGGCGCUGGAGCGAGAGCGAGCUUAGAGGAGAGGUGUGAGGAGAAGAGAUAAUGGGGCGCACUGUUCGGGAGACUCCGGUCCAACGCCUUAUAUGAGGCCGCUUCUGAGUGGCUGACAGGUAGGCCCAGAUGGCUCUGUCAAAUCCCGUAACGACCGCACGAGCGAUACGUGGUGAAAAAGGUGGCGCAGGGAUCGAGGCGGCUCCGCUCUAUCUCGUCCGAUUACUACGGCCUCCCCCAUCCCGCACGCUUCCCAAAAUUCGAAUCCCACUAAAUCCACGGGCAGCAAAUAACUUGUCAGACCAAAGAUCUCCUCCGCACCGUCACUCGGAGCCUUACAAGUAAAGAAACUCACUCGACGAAGUAUUAAGAAUGGAUCAAGGCGACUGAAAAGAAAGUUGCUGCCACCACUCGGGUCCAUUGAUCUAGAGCAAGAUAUGCUCACAGCAUGAAAAACGAGUCGGAGAGGUCCUCAACUCCUUCCCCGCUCAGACCUCGAUCCAUCGGGGGCUAAUGAUGAAGCUAUGUACCUAGGGUAGGGUCAUGGACCUGUCCUAACUGCCCUACCCAAGGACAUCUCUAGAAGAAAUCACCUUUCAAUCGACUUGAAGGUGUUCCACUCGACAGACUCGAAGUCACUUGACCAAGAAGUGAUCACUCGACCAAGAUCCAACCACUCGACGGCCAGGAGACCUAAAGUCACCCCGCACGCUAAUGGUCGGUCAUUAAAUAGCUUUUAUGGUCAUCAUAGCACUUUAUUACUAGCGUUACCAGUAACGCCCUGCCUUAAUGUACAUUGAACCCUUCGUAAUGUGGGCUGGCCGGGGUCCUGGCGCACUCUAUAUAAGCCACCCCCUCCUCCGAUACAAGGGUUCGCACCUCUGUAACUCAUACUCACAUCAUCCAGUCGACCGCCUCCGGGCUCCGAGACGUAGGGUUUUUACUUCUUCCGAGAAGGGCCUGAACUCGUAAACCUUGCGUCCUUACAACUUCUCCAUAGCUAAGAUCUCGCCUCUCCAUACUUACCCCCCUACAUUACUGUCAGACUUAGAACCACGAUAGUACCCAGGUUGUAUCAAUGCACGGGUACUCGGAGUUUGUCCAGUCGCUAACCCAGGAACAGUAUGUCAUAGCUAGUCAAACGACAAUUCGCGAAACUCUAAAGACUCCCGCAAUGAAUGUUAGGAGAGUUUUGUGCCAAAAGAUUGCUAGCACAUAUGAUUCACAAGUUGUCGCGUUUGUGAUACACAUGGUACCUAUGAGAAUAACCUUGCAAGACGUAGAACACAUCACAGGCCUUCCCAGCAUGGGGAGGGACUAUGUCCCUCCUUCGUUCAAAGAAGUGCAGGACUUAUGGCUUGAUUUAAAGGAUCCUGAAGAUAACAAACUGACCUUGAAAGGUAUAUGAUAUUUUCAGAACUAUUUUUUCGUUUGAUAAUGGAACAAAUUUCAUAAUUACAAUACUUGACAAACAACCUUUUCAGGUCUUCGUAAGAAGAUGAUUGGCGAAGAGAGGCCACGGUUUGUGAAGCCUUAUGUCUUGUACACCAUUGGCAAGUUGGUUUGCCCAACGACACAACCCUAUGUUGAUCCCAAAUAUUUGGGAAUUGUUAUCGACAUACAUACUAUAAACUCCAUAAAUUAUGCUAAACUAUCUCUUGACCACUUAAUGUCAAGUGUGAGGAAGUUUGUGAACGGUGCCGCAAACUUGGAGGGAAAUCUCCCACUACUGCAGGUAGUACAAACUCAUUAUUUCCUAUGAUAUUCUUUAAUUGGUCAAUUAUGUAUUCUUUUUAAUUCUCUCCCAGACAUGGUUCUAUGAGAAAUUCCGAGUCGACCAUAUUGAUCGCACCAUUUCCUAUCUUCAACGAGAUAAACCAUUGAUACAAUACUGGGACGAAGAAAAGGCAGCAAAGGUCGACAAAAUAAUAUCGCAGAACUACAUAGGAGUAGGACAGGUAUAUGCUUACUGUCACUAGUUGUCAUCUGCUCAGUUUUUGCAAAAUGACUCAUAAUAUAUAAAAAACUGCAGAUGGUAGACGACCUCAGGCGCCCUUGGAAGCCAGUGUCGAAGGCUUCACAUCAACCUACAAAGUCUACUUUUGAGGUACGUCCUAUGUAACUUGUACAAUGAUACUACUCGUUUCUUAGGCUGAAACUAUUUGUUUGUACAAAUAUUUUUAUGAAACAAUCAGUUCUAAUUUAUCUUAACUUGUAGGUCGAUGGGACACUAGGCCGCGUACUCGCCCAGGUGGGAGAGAUAAAAGCAAUAGUGUGUCAGCAAUAUUCGGAGAUUUACGCAAAACUGGACGGAGUAGAAAGGCGCCAGAAGCAAAACAACAUGCGCUUGGAGGACUUCAUUUGUGCAUUCAAUGUAUGCAUUUGUUCUUUUUUUGUUGUAAUUCAUCCUUCUAGAUGAGUGCAUGACUAACAUUUUUUCAUUAAUAGGAUCAUCGAUUUGGAGUAGGACAGAAGGACUUUAAUGAGGGUCAGAGAGUUGAUAAUAAUAUCAAGGUAUGUCACAAAAUUUCUAACUGUCUUCAUGUCAGAAUGUAUGCUAACCAUUUUUCAUUUUAACGUGCGAACUAGAAAACCUCAAAGAAUGUUGCUGCUAGUACAAAUGAAGUGCCAAAGUGUGUCUACAGCAACCCCAGCAAGAACCUUGCUGGGGAAUUUGAGGUAUGAAUUCCAUCUUGGUACAAUGUUUUUUUGUCAACCAUACUUAGUGCUAACUUGUCCAUCUGUACAGAAGGUAAAAAAACACCUGUGGACCCCCACAAAGGAAAAACAGACAGAGAUGACGCUGUGGACUCAUUUAGUAAGCGUUUUAGGAGUGACAGCAAGAACUUACCCUCCCAAUCUGAGGUCAGCAUCACAUGUCUGAACUAUAUUGCUAGGAAAGGGUUUAUUUCAACCAUAUUCUUAACUUGAUGACAACAUUGCAGAAGGUGAAGAAAACAUAUGUACACCCUCAGAAGUCAAAGACUGAAAGAGACGAUAGCAAGAACUUACCCUCCGAAUAUGAGGUCUGCAUCACAUCUUAACCAAAUUGCUAACAAACGUUUUUCUCAACCCAUAUUCCUAACCUUAAGUCAAAUAUCGCAGAAGGUCAAGCAUACGUCCAUGGAUGCCAUGGACUCCAUAGGGAGGCGUGUCAGACAUGACGGCCGGAAGAGAAAGAAGUCUUCACUCCUUCAGAGCGAGGAAUACGAAUUUUACACCCCCGCGCUCAGAAGGAAAAGAGCUCUAUCUUAAUAGACACAUGACAGUAACGAUAUUAUGUACACACAGAAUAAGAAGAUGAAUCCCGGGAAAAGCAGCGCCCAGCAGCUAAAACAGCUCAAGGAGGACUUGAUCAAUUUUCAGGCAGAAACAGAUCGAGUUACACAGAAUAUAGUAGUUGACUAUGUAAACACUACUCCUGAGACCGCCAAGUUGGUGAAGAUCAAGGACAUACUUCUAACGCAGAAGUAUCUUAAAUGCCUGACAACACCAGAUCAUUCCUCCUUUGCAGCUUGGGUGGAUGACGAUGUAAGUGCUAACGCAAAAUAGUAUCUUUGAUUAUUUAUAUGUUUUCCAAUUAAACUAAUAUCUUCUUUCUUAGGUACUCGAUGCGGCGUUUGAACUCCUACGCCUGGACGGACUAGAAGGUGUACGAGACCAUGGUACCGUGUAUGUCGAAAGGUCGACCAUUGUCAACAUCCUAAAGAGAGAUGGCACAGUCCCGAAUUGUACCUUGGAUGUUUUAAGCGGCAAAUCAGGCACUAAAUCGGGAGAUAACUACCUGAAACAUGACAUGGUAAAAAAAUCCACCCUUCUCUUAUAUAAAUAAGAAAUUUUAUUUUUAGGCACUUCAAACCAGUUACAAAUUUUGCACGCAGAUUUUCCUACCUUCAAAUAUUCCCAACCACCACUGGUUCCUGGCUGUUGUCAACUCCCAAAAGAGGGAGAUUCAAAUUCUGGACUCACUCCAAUCACGCAACAACCGCAAAGAAGUAAUUGCUGCGGUGAGGCUCUAACAACAUUUUACAUAACUUACAGUUUAUACGAAUAAUGUACUAAAUUGAGUGAUAUGUUACUUGCAGCUUCUUGGAAUGGAAACACAUAUUGAUAUAGCAGUGAUGGAAAAUAGAAUGCCAGGAAGUAGAUGGCCGGACACUCAAGUGGCUUCGUGGCCUAUCACAGACUAUGAAGUGCCACAGCAAAAAGAUGGGUGUUGAAAUACAUCCAAUAUUGGACUGGAGUGAGAUUGUCGGCAAUAUUCAACCAGGUACCUACAUCUUCCCUAUCUAACUUAACUUUCACAUAUACAAAGGGUCCUAACGUCUACCUCCUAUGCAGGAUGACAUAAGACAGUUCAGAAGAUGGCUUGCUGCUGCGUUGAUCAAUUCACCUCACAAUGAGUUGAAAGUUCGAAAGGCCAUACCAGCAGUUGACUUAGAAGAUGAUUUAGAAGACGUCGACCUCGGAGGUGACGACGGACACAAUGACAGCGGAGAUGCCUUAGGAGACGAUGGUUCCGCACUAUAGUUGUGUGGUGCUAGACUUAGGGAAGAGUUAAUAGGAUUGGGGGUGGUGUGGUUUUUGCCCCGUAGACGGUUUCCACACCGUUUUCAAUUUUAUUAUUUUAUCUAUACAUCGAAGAUGUAUCAAACAUUUUUUUUGGUUGUGCUACUUUAUCUAUACGGCAAAUUGCCGUACAUUUACUACUUUUAUCCAUAUUGAAUAUCUGCAUUAAUUUUUAAUUAAAGUCUUUCACGCACAAAAUCUUGUAUUCGCUGUUUAAUGAUGCAAUUCCCUUUGGUUUAUAGGAUGUGAUUCAAAAACAAAAUUUCUAAGUGGCUUUACACUUUCAGUCGCAAUUUCCUUGUUACUUGUGUCCUUGGAAGCAACACAAUCUUUUUAAACCUGGGGUUUCAAUUCUGUAUUAUGCCAAUGAAUGAUAGACAAAUGCUGUCCUGUUAUUUCAACUUGUGCAUCCUACCAUUUAAUCGAUGAUCAGGAUUUUCUAAAAAGCCAACUUGGCCACCCACUUGGGAACUAUCCAUUGCCUAUCUGAGUGUUGAACAGGUGUACUAAUUAACUAGACUGAACUGGAAUGUCUGUUCAUAUGACCAUGACUGAAUCAGCUGAAACUGAAACAUGCUCUAUGUCGAAUCUGAAACUGCACAUGCUCUGCACUAAUAUCACAUACAAAAAAAAUCCUUGUGCAAGUACACAAGAUGAGCAGAGAGGACGAGCAUGGACCUGAACUGCUGCUGGUGUGAUGGAACUCGUCCUCCUCCUAGGCGAGGACCAUGGCUGGAUCAGCUUUUUCCCUCCAAAUCGCUUGUCACUGCUACACAGGAAGGAUAGACAUACACGUUUGACAUCAUUGUUUAUCUCCACACGGCACUAUUUGAGUGAGAAACAAAAACAUAGGAUUUGUGAUGCUAUGACAUCUUAAUGAUUCAUGAACUAAGCUGAAUAAGCCUAGGUCCAAUUUCAGAAUAAGCCUCGGUACAGACACAGCUAGCAAGUGGCGGUGCCUGGGCCAGAGAGGAUGGAGAAGCUAGCUUACGAAAUCGAGGAAAGAAAUGGGGGCCAAUGGAUCGAUGGGUCGGAUGCGAGUACCUGCAUCGGCCACGACAGAUCUGUACGGCACUGGUCGGCGUGUAGGGCCUUGACGGCGACGGGGCAUGCUGGCAACGUCUCGCCUUAGUCCUCCCCCUCGGCGACCCGCUCCACAUCCUGCAGCUUAGG
rnacentral:lncRNA from 1 species